UACGGAGGGUGCAAGCGUUGCUCGGAAUUAUUGGGCGUAAAGGGUAGGUAGGUGGUCUUAUUUGUCUGGGGUGAAAGCCUUGGGCUUAACUCAAGAAGUGCCCCAGAAACGGUAAGACUAGAGUCCUGGAGAGGGUCGUGGAAUUCCCGGUGUAGCGGUGAAAUGCGUAGAUAUGCGGAGGAACACCGAUGGCGAAGGCAAUCCCCUGGGCCUGCACUGACGCUCAUGCACGAAAGCGUGGGG
rnacentral:rRNA from 1 species